GAUGAACGCUAGCGGCAGGCCUAAUACAUGCAAGUCGAACGAUAGAAGAGAGCUUGCUCUCUUUGAAAGUGGCGCACGGGUGCGUAACGCGUAUGCAACCUACCUUAAUCAGGGGGAUAGCCCGAAGAAAUUCGGAUUAACACCGCAUAAAAUCACAGUACAGCAUUGUACAAUGAUCAAAUAUUUAUAGGAUUAAGAUGGGCAUGCGUUACAUUAGCUAGUUGGCGGGGUAACGGCCCACCAAGGCGACGAUGUCUAGGGGAUCUGAGAGGAUGACCCCCCACACUGGUACUGAGACACGGACCAGACGCCUACGGGAGGCAGCAGUAAGGAAUAUUGGUCAAUGGAGGGAACUCUGAACCAGCCAUGCCGCGCGCAGGAAGACAGCCCUCUGGGUCGUAAACUGCUUUUAUUCGGGAAUAAACCUACUUACGUGUAAGUAGCUGAAUGUACCGAAGGAAUAAGGAUCGGCUAACUCCGUGCCAGCAGCCGCCGUAA
rnacentral:rRNA from 1 species